rnacentral:rRNA from 1 species
CCCGCUGAACUUAAGCAUAUUAAUAAGGGGAGGAAAAGAAACUAACUAGGAUUCCCUCAGUAAUGGCGAAUGAAGUGGGAAUAGCUCAGGUUUAAAAUCUGGUAGCAAGUCUUGCUGCCCGAAUUGUAGUCUUUUGGAUGGUCAUAGGAGCGCACACUGGCACAAGUCCGUUGGAAUGCGGCGCCUUAGAGGGUGAGAGCCCCGUAGUUGGCCGGAUGAAAAUGUGCUCCGUAAAUUGAUCGUUCGUAGAGUCGGGUUGUUUGGGAAUGCAGCCUUAACUGCGAGGUAAAUUCCUUGCAAAGCUAAAUACAGGCAUGAGACCGAUAGCGAACAAGUAGAGUGAUCGAAAGAUGAAAAGAACUUUGAAAAGAGGGUUAAAAGUACGUGAAAUCGCUAAAAGGGAAGCGAUUGGGUUCAGUAUGGGCACGCCUCUGAAUCGUGUACCGUGUGGGUAUAAGAUGAUGCGUAGAAGUGUUGGUUAACACCGAUACAUGCGCGUCGUAUGAAGCCCUCGUUCGGUGCACUACUUUUGGGGCGUGCUAGUCAGCAUCGGUUCGCUUGCGUUGGCGACAGAAAAGCUGGGGAAUGGUAGGCCGCCUUAGGGUGGCUGAAUGCCCUGGUCGAUUGGUCGUCCGGUGGACUGAGGUGACUGGUAAAAGCCAGUCAGCAAAGGGGGUGCCUCAAGGCAGGGCUCUGACGCUUGCAGUGGUUGACGGGGUGUUGGACUAGUGCAGUACUAUACCCUGGCGGCUACUCCACGGGUGUCAAUCCGCUUACCUCCUCUUGAUGCGUGACAAAAUGUGCUCAAUCGACCCGUCUUGAAACACGG